GGGAGGCCUUGGCUGAAGAUGUCCCAACAAAAAGAAGCUAAGAAGACAUUGGGAUUUCGUGGCCCCUCUAUUCAAUAUGGAUUCACUUGAGGGAUCAGGAGUGGGGAGAAGCAACUGGUUCCUCUAUCUACACCGGUUCUCUUUCAAUCAUUGUAGGUCGAGUCUAUGCAAUGGUGGGGCUGCUUUAGACAACUUCCUAGUUCUGAUCCCAAAUCUGCUGGUGAAGCAAGCCCUGCCGCCAGCUUCCACCAUAGGCUCUGAGGGCUAAUCGAUGACUCUCUUAUGCGUACCUGAGUUAUCAAUGUGAUAUGAAGCAGAACUGACAAAGGAGAUGGAAAUGCUGAUCAGAAAUGACAAUGGCUUGGGGAGAGAAGAAAUGUUUGAGUAAUCAGAAAUGGUUGGUGACAAAGAACAGCUGCCUCAUUUGGUUCCUUUGUUCCGCUCUAAAGAUCGGCAUUGGGAUUGAUGAAUGGAUGGAAUGAUUGGCAUGGAGAGAUGGAUGUGCUAUGGUUGCUCAUUCAAUGAGAUUUUGU